rnacentral:rRNA from 1 species
AUUGAACGCUGGCGGCAGGCCUAACACAUGCAAGUCGAACGGUAACAGGAAGCAGCUUGCUGCUUCGCUGACGAGUGGCGGACGGGUGAGUAAUGUCUGGGAAGCUGCCUGAUGGAGGGGGAUAACUACUGGAAACGGUAGCUAAUACCGCAUAAUGUCGCAAGACCAAAGAGGGGGACCUUCGGGCCUCUUGCCAUCGGAUGUGCCCAGAUGGGGUUAGCUUGUUGGUGGGGUAACGGCUCACCAAGGCGACGAUCCCUAGCUGGUCUGAGAGGAUGACCAGCCACACUGGGACUGAGACACGGUCCAGACUCCUACGGGAGGCAGCAGUGGGGAAUAUUGCACAAUGGGCGCAAGCCUGAUGCAGCCAUGCCGCGUGUAUGAAGAAGGCCUUCGGGUUGUAAAGUACUUUCAGCGGGGAGGAAGGGAGUAAAGUUAAUACCUUUGCUCAUUGACGUUACCCGCAGAAGAAGCACCGGCUAACUCCGUG